UUGAGAUCCCCCCUGCCUCUGCCUCUUGAGUACCGGGAUUAAGGGUGUGCGCCACCACACCUGGCAUCAUCACCCCUAUUCUCCUAAGGAAAUCCUUUCUCCUCAUCACGGUGGGGACAUUAUCAACAGCCUCUCUAGUUGUCACCUCACCUGGCUGAGCUGUGGGAGUAUGAGGCUCAGAGCUGCUUCAUCCCAGCAGCAUUCAGCUCACACCUGGCCUGGAGCAGCCGCUGAGCAAAUAUUUGUGGAAUUGUUUUUGUGGUUGCUGUACUCUCUGGUUCUGAGUGCCUGUUUUGGUAACCUGCCCAGGACUGAAUUCCUCCUACCUCUCAGCAAUGGUCCCUUUCUCUCUGAACACCCAGUUCUGCCUGUGAAACCUGGGAGCUGAUGACACAGCUCUUGCUGCCGAUCCGCCUGCUGGAAUUCCCAGUGUUGCCCGGGAUCCCAGACGGGGCCUCCACCCACCUGUCAGAAUCCCAGAUGCUCUCCAGUGUCUGGUUGUUCUGUCUGCUCUUUGUAAGUUGCGUAUCUACCUGUGGAGCUGGAUGCCCCAUAGGUCCUCCAACAGGUUCAGAGGCUCAGUGCUGGCACUGAGACAAUCACCAAGACAUGCUGUUAAGUAAAAAGAAGUCAGAGCAAAAGACUGAGUAUGUUAUGUAUUCAUGUGAGGAAAAAAUAACAAAGAAACAGACAUUGGAGUUUGAACAAAACAUUUAUUUACCUGCGUGUUUGUAUGAGUGGUGUGUGUGUGUGUUUGUAUGCAUGUGCACACACGUGUGUAUGGGUGUUCAUGCAAGUGUGUACAGGUGGAGGCCAGAGGUCAAUGUUGGAUGUCUUUCUCACUAGUUCUCCACUUCGUUUUUCCUAAAGGGUCUCAUACUGAACCUGGACGUUCAUGGCUUUGGUUAGACUGGCUGUCUGGGCUCCAGGGAUUUGCCUGACUCUCCACCCUGACCCCAAAUACUGAGGGCCCCAGCCAGAGAAAUGUGCCAUUCACCUUCAGGAUGGGUCUUCACACCCUCAUCGACGAACCCACAGGCAUGUUUCCAUGGUGGCUCUAAAUCCAUUCAAGUUGAUGAUGAAGACCAACCACCACGGAGCCGCUUGGUUGUGCUAUUUGCGAUCCUGCACUGAUGCUGAGACUCCACACGCAGAAAUCUCUUCUUUGUCAUAACCCAAAUUAUGGGACUUUCAGAUCUCUACAUGUGAACCCACACCACCUCUCACCUGAAGCCAACGCCCCUCUCCAGCUGUCACUCUGGCUUGGCUUCAGUCCUAAUCUCUACUGGUUCUUUAGUUCUUUGUGGCCCAGACUGUUCCCCCGACUCGUCCCAACCCAGCGCAAGGUUUAAGAAGGGUUCUUGCAGUCGGAAAUCUGAGCAGAUGCACACAGAGAUUAGCUCUACCAGGUACACAGGAGUCCUCAACAGACAAGGCUCCGCCACCAGUCACUAGCUGUGGGAAUGUGGGAUGGGUCCUGGACCUCUCUGAGUCUCAGAUUCUUCAGUUAUAAAAACAAAUAGUCAAACUCAUGGCCUCGUACGAGGGUCAAAAGCAUAUAGUGCUUAGCACAAUGCCUGCUAGUUACAAACUACUAACUACUACUUCGUAUUAUUUCAGCAGGUACCACAUGGAUCCAGGGAUCCAGGGUCAGACCUGCUCUUUUGUCAUGAUCCAAUCUCAUGGAAACUAUUCAUCCCAGGAGUUCUGCCUAAUCAUGGAUACUCAGUUUCUCCUUUGCAUUCCUCCUCCAGCUAUAGAUCCAGGAACUAAGAUGCUCACUGUAUCUCAUGUUCAGAUAUCCACGAUCACAUAGGUUUCCUUAGACUCUCCAGUGUUCUAAACUGGGAGGAGUCUAGAUCAGCUAAAACCCACAUAUAAGAUGCCACAUCCUGGUACCAGCCCAGAAAUUCUGUAUUUGUUUAAAUGACAUUUGCAUUUUCUGCUUAUGACAGAUACAUAUUAUUGUAUAAUUACAGUGUCUAGAAGCAUUUGAAAGUCGGUAAUUAUAGAAACCCAUACCAGUCCCAUCAAGUAUGUUCCUAGUCUUCAUCUGUGACUAUUGAGCCCUUAAAAAUAAGCGUUUUAUGACAAAUUGGUGUUUAUUAUAGACAACUACAGACAUAGAAAACUGCAUAGAAGAUAUGAAAGCCAUUUGCCUUCUCCACUUCCAGAGACAACGGUAAACAGUUUGGUAUGCAUCCCAAGCUUUUCUUUUUCUGAGUUUAUUUUUUCUUUACAUAUGCGUAUUGACUAUUUGUGAGCUCCAAAUUUAAUAACAGUAUUUAGUGUUGCCCGAGUUGAUGAAUGUUCUAAAAAUUAGUUUAUUUUGUCUUUUUGAUAUAGGGUCUUGCUCUGUAGCCCAGGCUUGCCUCAAAUUCGUGCUCCUCCUGCCUCAUAAUGUCUAAAGACUAUAUGAUAAAAUAUUUAGAUUUUAUUUAUUGUUCAUAUUGUUUCCUUAGAAUCCAUUCCCACCAUUGUUGGAAUGAAUUUACUAAUAUAUAGCCUUUAAUUCCAUUCUAUGAUAAUUAUAUCAAUAUGAUUUCUAAGUUGUAGAAAUCUUCAUUACUAUAAUAGAAUAUCUGGGUGAAAAUUAUGAAAAAAUAUUAAAACUUUCAUUAAUCUUUCCAAAUUCUUGCUAGAAAAUUCUACCGCCAAAGCUAUGUGAGAUUUCCUGGCUCAUGGGGCUCAGUAAACAUUAGCUACUUUUA